GUGGUUGCUUCGGCAGUACAUGUACUAAAAUUGGAAUAAUACAGAGUAGAUUAGUAGUGUCCCUGUGCAAGGAUGAAUGGCAAGCUCAUGAAGGACUCCCAUUUUUU
rnacentral:snRNA from 1 species